AUGACUAGGACAAAGGAUUGUGAUCCCCUUGAGGGUGAGCUAACUCCAAAAACUCAUCCUCAAUUCGGAUGGUAGGCUAUAACUCGCCUACAUGAAG
rnacentral:ncRNA from 1 species